rnacentral:rRNA from 1 species
UACGGAGGAUGCGAGCGUUAUCCGGAUUUAUUGGGUUUAAAGGGUGCGUAGGCGGGAUGCCAAGUCAGCGGUAAAAAUGCGGUGCUCAACGCCGUCGAGCCGUUGAAACUGGCGUUCUUGAGUGGGCGAGAAGUAUGCGGAAUGCGUGGUGUAGCGGUGAAAUGCAUAGAUAUCACGCAGAACUCCGAUUGCGAAGGCAGCAUACCGGCGCCCUACUGACGCUGAGGCACGAAAGUGCGGGGAUCGAACAGG